rnacentral:rRNA from 1 species
UACGAAGGGGACUAGCGUUGUUCGGAAUUACUGGGCGUAAAGCGCACGUAGGCGGAUUUGUUAGUCAGGGGUGAAAUCCCGGGGCUCAACCUCGGAACUGCCUUUGAUACUGCAAGUCUCGAGUCCGAUAGAGGUGGGUGGAAUUCCUAGUGUAGAGGUGAAAUUCGUAGAUAUUAGGAAGAACACCGGUGGCGAAGGCGGCCCACUGGAUCGGUACUGACGCUGAGGUGCGAAAGUGUGGGGAGCGAACCGG